ensembl:lncRNA
AAGAAAUUAAUAAUUUUAUUUAACAAGGCUGCAUUAAAUUUAUCAUAAUUGACAGUAAAGACUUUUACAUUAUUACCACAGAUUUUCAUUUUAAAUAAAUGCUGUUUUAAUUGAUGAACUUUCUUUUCAAUUAAUCCUAAACAAUAAAAAGUGUUAAGCUUUGUAUCACAGGAAUUUAUUACAUUUUAAAAUUUAUUGCAAGAUUAUUUAUAAUAUUUCACAAUAUUACAGUUUUACUGUAAUACUGUAAUGCAUGCUUGGUGAGCAUUUAUUUAGCACUGUUUUGUAAGCCUUCUUGCUAAAAAUCAGGCAGAUAUUGUGUGACUUUAUGGUUGACACUUUCCAUAGAAUCGAUGCAAGCAGUUAGUCAGUCCUUCCAUUUUUAGAAUAAUGCAGACUUCAAAAUUGAAUAUGAAAGUUUCCCCAGAUGAAAGAAAACAUCCUCGCUGUGCGCUUUCCCAUCGAAACAGACCCAUAGUCACUUGCUGAAACUGUGGUGAAGCUCUUUCCUGUUUGAGGUGGGGGUGCAGCAUUUUUUUUUUUUAAUGCAAAAAAUCACAUUCACACUUUGGGUUGGUGCUGGAAUCUUAUUUAUUAUAUCUUUUCAGUCUUUGUCUAUUGCAGUUGCAUAAAGCCAGCAAACAUUUUAUCACUUGUAUUUUAUAUUUUACUUCAUACUUAGGAUUGUGGAUUUGAACAAACCCUCAACCCUAAUAAUUAAACUUUGAGUGCAGAACAUUUGACUGCAUUAGUCCUGCACCAUUCGAUUUUGAUUAGACUUGUGCCAGUAAGAAGCCACCUAUUAAUGUCAUCCUGUAAAUGGCAUUUUAAUGCCCAUGCAUUGCGCGCAACCGCAAAGCUGCAAGUCUUACUCACAUUUACUUUACUUUUGUGUGUGCAUUUGUUUUUUUUCAGCAGGACCUCCUCCUCUGCCAGUAAGAGAGAAGGACACAACAACCCCAGAAAUCCAUUCUGGAAGAGCUGUAAUUGAAAGAAUCCCAUUAAGGAUCAGGUACCCAACGUGGUGUUGGAGACUUCACCAAGCUAAUGGACAGUUACCCAGAAUUCUCUGGCUGUGGCAGAACAGUGGCUGCAUUUGUCAUGCUUUCAUAAGUCAGACGUACAGGAUGUCAGACCACAGUUUUUCACUGUGGUAUUAGUAUUGAAAUGUCAUGUGACAUUUAAGGUGUUCUUUGUCACCUAAUAAUCUAUAGAAUCUGCAUCGUCAGAGCUUUCUGGUUGAAGCUCACAAAAAGGUCAUAUUUACUCCAAAAUCAAAAGAGAAAUAAAUUUUGCUUAACGUAUCA